CCUUCAGCUGCUAUGCUACUUGAGCAUGCUUUCCUGCAAAUCUGAAGUUGCAGAUGACUGACCUAUUUCAAGUGCCAUAUGUUGUCACAAAAGGGUUGUUGUCCUGUAAAGUUCCAUAUUGACUAAACCAGAAGGAUCACACGGUCCAUAGAUGUGAUAAAGUACUUGUAUAUCGACAAAAUAAGACGGAUGUUCCUCUUGCAUGGUCUGACUAGCGGCAUACUGAUCUAGGCAAUUUAACAGUGUUGCUUAAUCUAAACCUUUUAGUGUAGAGUGCAUUCUUAUCAUAAACAUUUUGUGCGAAGUACAUUUAUUCAUCAAAAUUGAAUGGUAUUGAUUUGGCUCCAAAUAAGCAACAGAUCAGUGAAACAAAAGCAGGUAAACCCAGAAAAGAGGAGAAAAAGAAAAUCGAAGCGAUAGUGCAUCAGAAUUCCUGAACUAAUUUUGAAAGCAAAUACUUUGUCGGUUUGGUGGGAGGAACAUUGGCAGGUUUGGCAAACCUGCAGUGUCUUAGGAUUGCAUUAGAGGCUCUUGAUUCUUCCCUUCAACAAAUACAUGAGAUUUUCUCCGACCAGAGUGGCCCUCAUCACUAUCACCAAAUUCCGGUGAAUCAAGAAAAGCCAUCGUGGUCUGUCUCUGAAUUUAAAUGAUGAUGAGGAUCCAAGAUUUAUAACUUCCGAGAGGAGAAUCAACGUUAAUUGUUGUGAUUAUGCUCUUGUCAGGGCAGUGAGGGGAAAGUCUUUCCCCUAUUGGUUUUGCUCCCAAGUGAUGCUGCAAGUUUACUGUAUUUUCCCCUUAUGGUUGUUUGUCAUUUCGUGGACCAUUUUUAGAAUAACUUUGCAUCUCCUCUCUAUAAAAUACAAACAACUGAUGAAAUCUGUUGAAAAUAUCUCACACCGGUCUUUUACAAGAUUUUAAUGGGCCUUACAUUCAUAUAAUUUACCUUCACUUGUUCAAAUUUUUAGGUUGGACUUUCUCUUAUGUGCAAAUAGCAAUUUCUGCUUGAAAUGAAGAGUAAACAUGCUUCCCUUUUUUAACUAUUUUUUCUACGAUUAAAGUGAUUCCUCUACCCUAUACUAGAAAUAUAUAAAGUGUCACAGAAAAAGAAACUCCUCGAAAUUUUGUAAAGUCGGAGGCGCAGCUCAGAUUGAGCUAUGACUCUCAACUGCAUUAAAUUCUCUCUUCAUUUUCGUCUUCUUUUGUUCUUUUCCUCAAUUUUUAGCCAACAUCCUAACCAUAAGGCGCCUUUUCUCUUUUGUCCCUUAUCUCUCCCCCUUUUCUUCGUACACCUCACUCUUCUUUUCCUGCCUCUUUUUUUUUUGGUUCUCUGCCCGAACCCUUAACGAAGACAACUAAUUGGUAUUUAGUUUUCCAAAGUGUAGCAUUAUUGAGCACCAUCAUCGACCAUCAAGUUCGCUAAACUCAACCAUCAAUUAACUAACUAUUCUUGUUUAACAGGCCAGGCCAACGCUCGCUUGGGCAAGGGCGAGCCCCGGUGAGGGCUCCCAUUAUUUAAAAAUAUUUAAAAAUUAUUAAAAAAUUAUUAAAAAUGAUCUACGUCAGCGCCAGCGGUCCUACGUGGCACCACCAAUGUCCACAUCAGCAUUUUUCGGCCAAAAUUGACCAGAUGGACUGAAUUGGCAAUAAGUGAAAACGUUUAAGACUGAAUUGGCAAAAUUAAAAAUGCAAUAGGUUUAGGACUUUUUGGACAAUUUUCCCGAAAUAAUUGCGAUACCAAAUGCUAAAGGGCAAGACGGGAGACUUUUAUACGAAGUGAAUGGAAGCAAAGGUGCUUCUGAAAAGGGCAUUUUCAGAAGGAAAAGUGCUUGUGCAGCUAAGGGGGGAAAGAGGGGAGUCUUAUAAGAACUGAGGUAAAAGUGCUUGCAAAAAGGACAUUUUCGGAAAAAAAAAAAGUGCUGGUCAUAAGAGCUUUAUAAAUAGUGAUAUGGCUUCUUAUAAAACGUUUUAUACGAAGUCGGAAAAGUUUUGUAAGAAGUGACGUGGCUUCCUCUAUAAGGGCAAGGCAGGAGACUUUUAUAAGAAGUCAAUGAAAGCGAAAGUGCUUCCGAGAAGGGCAUUUCGGCAGGAACAGUGCCUGUGCAGCUAAGGGGGAGACAGGAAAGUUCUAUAAGAACUGAGGCAAAAGGGCUUCCAAAAACAGCAUUUUCGGAAGAAAAAGUGCCGGUCAUGAGAGCUUUAUAAAUAGUUACGUGGCUUCUUAUAGAACGUUUCAUACGAAGUCGGGAAUGUUUUGUAGCGGCUGACUUCGUAUAAAACGUUUGACUUCGUAUAAAACGUUUAAAUGUUUUAUACGAAGUCAGGAAAUUUUUGUAAGUGACGCGGCUUCUUUCUCAUGAAAAGCCCCCAGAGGACGCCGUUCUUCUUUUAAAACUCUCCUGGCCAGCACAUUUUUUUCAAUUCACUUCUUAUAAAACUCUUGUCUCGCCCCUUAGCAUUUGGCACCGCAUUUCUCUCACAAAACAAUUCACUCAUGGGGAAUGUUUUUACGCGCCAUUGUGAAGACGCGAUCAUUCCUGAAGCUGAAGCUGUGGUUAUAUCUGGUAAUUUUCUCUUCUUCAUCUUCUUCAUCUGUGAUUCACGGUCACCCAUAGACGUUUGAGUUGAGUUUGAUUCUUAUGUUAAAAUUUACGUCCUUCAUUUCCUUGAGAUUCAAUUGUUUCGCUUAGAAAGUUUGUCAACUAGAUAAGGGCUGGUGAUGAUGUGUUUAAUGCACUUUUGUAGGUCAGAUUUGGCGAUUAUGUGUUUGUUUUUCUCACUUUUAAGCUUCUAAAGUACAGAGAACUAGUCUUUUGAUAGUUACAAAAAGUACAGAGAAGUAGUCUUGUAAAGGUUGAUCCACUGGUAGAAUUGUGUGGCAAUCAUUAUGAGACCGUGAUGUAAUGCCUCUUUAUUUUUCUAAUCCAUAGAUCUAUUUCCCAUGUCUACCAUUCGUAAUGAAGAAGAGGGCAGUGAAGAAGUUGAAUUACAUGAUGAAUUUGCCAUCAUCAAUGUCCCCAUUCAAGGUGGAGAUGGCAAUACCAUACCCAGUGAAGAAGAGGGCGGUCAAGAAGUUGAAUUACACGAUGAAUUGAUUGCCGUCAUUAUCCCCAUUCAGGGUGGAGAUGGCAAUACCAUACCUAGUGAAGAAGAGGACGGUCAAGAAGUUGAAUUACACGAUGAAUUGAUCGCUGUUGUUGUCCCCAUUCUGGAUGGUGAUGGCAAUGGUGACGGCCAUAUUGAGGAUGGCGACAACAAUGUUGGUGAGCAUGAAGUGGAGCAAGAGGUGCAGGAGGUGGAGAAUGAGCAGGACGGCGGCGAGGGGGCUGGUGUGGGGGUUGUUGUUGGUCCUGCCGUUGCUGGUAAUAGAGCUGGCUUUAUUGUUCUGGCAACGGUGCUAGUGGGGGCGCUCGUCUUGUGGAAGAUGCGGCUGAUAACACUGUUAGAGUUGCUUUUGAUGGUGGUGGUAGUAUUGGCAGUAGCCUUGCUCCUUGGGCGCAUGGAUUGGCUAAACUUGAUAUGGAUCUUAAUCCUAAGACUCAAUAUUAUCCUAGUAUGAUGGAGAGAUUGACGCGUGGAUUGCCACGUGAGAUGUCUAGGUGGACUUCUUUGGAUGAUUUUCAGUAGAACAUUUUUGUUGCAGGAACCUCUGUUUGUAUCCUUAUUUCAUCAUGUAUACAUUUGUAUCAUUACUGGUUAUGUUGUCAAUGUACUUGGAAGGAAUAAACAUAUUCAUAGUUUAUUAACAGCUGAUUGUUCUCCUAUUGGUAUAAUUUAAGUACGCAUACGUAAGGAAUGGAGUAAGUACGGCCAUAACGAUUAUUCUCUAAUUUUAUGCGAGACUUAGAUAAAUUAGCCUCCCUAUACCAUAAAACCCGGUGGCAAUUUGAUGAACCGUCAUGUUUUCUUAGGAUUAGUAUGUGCACAAGUAGUUACGGAAUCUUAACUUUCACGUAAGAGGAUGGUCAGUAAGCUUUUCUUUGCCCAUGAGCUUAGCUCUCCUUUUUAUAUUCAGCUGGACUCAUCAAUGACAGAGGGUCAUUUGAUUCAAUCUUCUAUGUGAUGUUGAUGCAUAUAUGAUUACAUAUAAAUAGACGUGACAAAUGAGUGGACUGAAUUGAUUUUGGAUGGAUUAUCAAUAGGUUCAAUUCAAAUUCACGCAUUUAAUUCACGUUGACCCAUUUAUUUUCUGCACAAUUUAUAUGACACAUAGCCAAUCCAAACCCACCAACAUAACUCACAAUUUUUUUUAUUAAUACCAAUUAAACAAUUAUCAAAUUAAAAUAAUAAAAAUUAAUAGGGAUAAAUACACUUAAAAUCCUAAAAUUUGUCAUGAAGUAUAAUUAAAUCCUAAAAUUUAUCACAAAAAUUCAAUUGAAUUUUAAAAUUUUCAAAAAUAGUAAUUUAAGGGAUUUUUUUUCCCCUUCGCAGGCUCCCCUUUUCUCUCUCUCCAUGCCCGCUUUUUGGAAUUAAAGAGGAGAAGAAUGAAUUUUUCGCACUAACCUCCUUCUACUUCCUCUGCUUCUUCACGAACGACCAUAAGCCUUCACAAACCGAUCCCUUUUUUCUCUGCCAUGCUUUAGUCGAGCCGUAGCAGUUGUCCUUUGACCCGGAUGUUGCCGGUGACACCGUGGCCCGUCUCUGAGCUCGACGGCGAGAAUUGAGCCACCUAGAUUCAUCUUGCGCCUCUAUCUCUCUCGUCAUCCCCUUUCGACUUCGGAUGGGGCUGAUUCGAGCCAUUGACAUAAUUUCGUCUCAGAUUCACGGCCGAGUCGAGGCAUAGAUCUGAGAUCUAGGGCUCAAUCGAGCUCCACCAAAGGCGAGGGCUCAGUCGAGCUACACCAGAGGCGAGGGCUCUUGGGAGUUAUGUUCAGAUGAUCAUUACAUGAGAGACCCAUGCCAGUACCUACUCAAGGACUACUGCUUUGGAUUGUGCCUAAGAGACAGAAAUGAUCUUUCCUUGACCAUCCAGGACUUCAACUAUGCCAGCUUUUCAGGACUUAGCUACAUCAAACAUCCCCAUUAGUGGAUAAAAGUUGAAACGCCAUUAACCCGAGAAAGAAGCCAGUGCUUUUAGAAACUCUUCUGGAUAACAUAACAAAGUGCAUUCUGCCAAUGGUAUAUGCUUUCAUUUUAUAUGAAGCUAUAUGCAUGUCGUCAUUACAAAUUUAAAAUUGAGCUCGACUGCCCAGUAUUCAUGCAAUUUUCCUUAUCUUAGCCCCUCCAGAAACUAUCAAUGCUUGCUAUAUUAAUAAAACCAAAUGCUAUUUGAACAGAACAAGGCCUAAUUUUUCUUUUGCUCUUCCAAUUUCUUUGGGUUGGUUUGAAUUUGAUUUAAUUUUUGUGUUUUUCCCUUCUUUCUUGCCUUUUACCUAACAAACCAUGAUAUUUCAACAAACAGUGAUGACAAAGCAUCAAAUUAUGACAAGGAGAUUCAUUUAUAUUGAUUGAAUCAUGCAAUAGUGAAGUUAAAGUUAUUUAUAUUAGUUGAAAGGUGAUCAUUCUUGACAUGGAGUGACAGCAAAAUACUUUCGUACUUUCUCUUCGUAAAGUGAAUAUUGUUUUACUCUUCUAUUUAAAAUCUAACAUGUAGAAAGUAAUUAACUAAGCUAAAUAAUAUAGAGUAAUUUGAGAAAUGGCAAUAUCUAUCCGAAUUCCAACAUGUCAACACAUUGAACUUUGAUGUAAUUACAUAUAUCUGUGCACGUCAUACUCUAGUAUUCCAUUGAAUUACAGCAUAAAUGCUAGAGUAUAUAUUUUGAUACUCAACCUAGAUACUCAACCCAGUGUGCUUGCUGGUAGUCAAUAUUGACAAAGUUAAAUAAGAGAAUCACAGUGCAGAAAAUCAGCGCAUCUUUGGCUGAUUCAACUUAGAAAUAAUUAAGAGGGAAAGGACCUAUAGGCUCUUAAGUCUUUGCAGAACUAGUGAAGAGCUUUAAAAUGCCAAGGCAGGCGAUUGGGAUGCAUGAGAUUCUGCAAAACCUUGAGAAGUGCAAAAGACAGGGGACAGCAGAGACCUCAGUUAAUGCAAAUUCAACAGGCACAAAUGAUCAAUGCAAUCAUGCGAUAUGAACUUGAACAGAAAAUUGCCCAAGAGCUCAUUAUGGCAGGGCAAGCUGGAAGAGGCUUACCCUGAAGUGGAUUUACCCAAUCUUUCAUCUUUACAUCGUCUCUGAUCAUCGACCAUCGACUCGAAAACAUCUAACAGUUGAUCCAGUCCCUCUGGACUGCCCCCAACUGCCUUCAUCGCGUAGAUGGCACUCUCGAGAGUGGACAAACAUCCAGCCUUAGGCUGACUUCUAACUUCUCUGUACAAGCUCAUCACCUCCAAAUCCAACUUCAGAUGAGGCAACAGCUUCAACCAAGGAUUCUCGCUGUACAUUCUCUUUGCCUUCAUCCACGUGCCGUCCAGCAAGAUCAAGUUCCUGACUUUGAACUCAGCUGCCUUGAGUUCAUCAAUGCUGAGCGCAUUCUUGGUCGGAAACAGAAGUACCGACCCGCGCGGCACUUCAAGUACGAAUUCCUCAGAUUCUUCAAGCUCCAAGCUCGAAUUCAAUACAAGGUUUUGCGAUUUCCUAACCACAAAUCCAUUCGACAGAACGUCAUGAGCUGACUGGCAAUCUAAUAUGGAAUCAAAAUCAGCUCCUCGAUGACCAAUUUGAGACAUCCAAACAUGGUCUAUCGAUUCAAUAAUCCCCUUCUUGCCCAUUCGAAAACUGAUAACAGGUUUGCUGGUACUUCUAGACAAGACUCCACAAGCGCGCGAGUUCUGCGGCACCUUGGAAUCCUCUGAAACCUCCCCACCGUUUGGGGCAAUCGAACCGCAGUCCCUUUCAUCCCCAGGACAAUAAGCUCCAUUCGAUUCGACGACCGAAUUAGGGCUUCCCACCUCCACUCCAGAUACCAAUCCAUUGGCGCUGAUUUCGCGGUCUUGCUCGAGCGGCGAGAUCGAGAACUCGACGCCGGAGUUGACGUCGGAAACGGCGGCGACGGCGACGUUCUUGAGCGCUAGCCUCAAGAUUUGGGUGGAAUUGAGGGGGUGCUUCCGCUCCAGGCUGUGCUGGAGGACAGUGACGCGGACGGGGUGGUCGAGACGCGGAGAUCGGAUCCGGGUGCAGAGGCACGUGCGCGCCGGCUUCGAGCAGGACGGGCAAACGGGUCACUUCGGAUUGGUGGAGCGGGCCGUUUCCGCCAUUUUCGCCGACCGCGGCGGACGCUGGCGGCGAUCCGGCUGGGGGAAGGAGGGAGCUUGAGGAGGAGGAGGAGGAUGGUCGGGGACGCGUAUCGAAACGGGCUCGGAUUCAGGUUCGGGAACGGGUUCGCGAAUCGGAUACGGGUUGCGAAAUGGACCCGCAUUUUCCCAGAAAUUGGGAGAUGAUUUUUGGGAAUCUGAAAAAAACGGUAGGGGCCGGAGCGGGCGGGGGCGCUGUUUGGCCAAAACGGUCGAGCAAAUGGUUUUGAAUUUACGAAAGAGCGUGCCAGCGGCGGCCUCUGUGAUUCAAAUCCGAAAAAUAGUGUGCAGAGGCCAAUCGAUGACUGCCGCCGUGAGGCAAGGUUGGAUAUCAUGAUAGCGACCAAGUGGUGGAGAUUGUUCUUGUGGGUUUAUCAUGCCAUGAGAUGGCAACUACUGCGGCGAUGGUCGAAAUCAGGAUGAUGAAUGACUGAAAUCAUGCAUCUAGACCACAGUAAGUAUCCACUUAGAUCAAAUGGUCAACAAGUUAACAAUUGAGGCCCAUGAAGAUUUUAGCAGAGGAAGUUGAUAUGUUCUUUAGAUCCUCGGACGGCGGUCGCGGUUUGCACUUCAGAUUGUAAUAGCAGCCUUGGGGUUCCUCCUUUCAAAGUCUUAUGGGUAUUUAUCACUUAGACGUCCUAAGCUUCAUAUCAGAUGCUAAUGAUGUUGCUGAACUUCACAUGAAAUCGCCUUCUUGGAAUUUGCAUGAGUAUUGUCCAAUUUCAACUUGGUGAGGAACUUUUUGGCCGAAAAAAUAAAUAAAUUUGGUUGAUGUUUCAGGUUAGCCAAAGGACGAUAUAUCUGAAUAUCUAAGAAACCAGAGGACUAGCAGAGUCUACUUCCUGUCUGGCUUAGAACUGAAAGGAAAAUUUAUAAAAAUUAUUAUAUGAUUGAUCUUUCCAAAAUGUUGCCUCCUAAAGAAAAGAGAGAAUUUUGGCCAAUACCGCCUUUAAUUUGUUUGUGUUUAGAAAUGAUUUUGAACAUGAUAUUGCAUAAACUUGUCAAUUGAAAAUGUUGUGCCACACAUGUUGCUACUCUCUCUUUUGAAUCAUACCAACUUGACAUGGAUUGAAUUGUUUCAACAUUAAACUAUUUAGAAUAUUUAUUCUACUUAGUGAUUUUAUCAUAUUUGGAAACAUAGGCCGGCAAGUUUCUUUUCGCUCUUUGUUGUCAAAAGAAGAAGAAAGAAUUGCAUAGCUAUCACCUCUGUUUUGACAAAUAUAGUAGCUUCCCAUGUCUGGGGUAAGACGGUGAAACUCGCAAGGGUUCGUCUUAAGUCAGCUUGUGCUUCGCACAAUGUCCUGUAACCGACUUGUUAGCUUAGUACCCCAAUUACCUUAUACUCCUUUUCUUCAAUUAUUAUUUUAGCACACAGAGAGAGGACCAAUGCUGAGGUCUUGAUGAGCACCGACUACCCUUGAGCAACCACUUCAACACUUCCUUGAAGAGAGAGGAAACACCCCUCCUUCUCUUCGUUUCCAUUUUCCUAUUAUUUUGUUUUUUGUUUUUUUUGGUGAUCUUUGCCUUUUAUUUUUUAAAAUUUUUUGCCUUUUCUUUGAGAUGUCACAUCAGCACCAUGCGUUCUAAAAUUUUUUAGAAAUGUCAUAUCUCCACUUUCAAAAGAAAUGAAAGAAACGUUGAAUAUAGACAGAGAAGGGGCUGGUCUUGUAUCCAAUUCAUGCCACGUCAGCAAGUUGGUAAUGUCCCUAGCCAUGAAUUAUGGAGGAACUUGAUUUCAUUAACAGAGAAAAGCUAAAGGACAUAUUUCUUCUUUUUCCCCCAAGAAUGACAGCACGUGUAUUCGGAGGAAGCUCCUCGAGGCACGGUCCGUCCUUCAGCCACAUGUUAGAUAUAAUAUUGGUAAAUGGUGAUGAACAUCAUAGUUUCUUAUGGAAUGAUCCUUGGCAUCCUCAUGCGGUGUUGUUUGGAUGUUUAUCCUAAAAAAUUAAUUUAUAAUGCUGCACUGGCCCUGAACUCUCUAGUUGCUGGUGUCAUUUAUGGAGAUGAGUGGGUUUGUCCUCCAGCAGGAUCAGAAUUUUUUGUGCAUAUUCAAGCAGCCAUAUGUGGAACGAUCUUUCCCCUGCUCUGCUUUUGAGGGCAGAGCAAUUUUCAAAGGAAAUUCCUUCGGAUGCUUUACUCAGCUGAUGCUUGGAAGCGAGUAAGGAUAAAAUGCAGAAGAUCUAAUCCAAGGCAUAAAUUCAGCUUUGUAGCUGCUUGCUAUCUUGAACAGACUGCAACUUGGACGGGAUAAAAUGGGGGUCCUCCAUUGAUGACAAAUGUGUCUUAUGCUCUUCUUCCCGAGUCUAGGAAACCUUUGUGUUUUGAGGGUGCCUUCUCAAAGGAUGGAGAUUUCUAAUGCGGCUGGUUAAAGUUUGUUGGAAUGUUAAUAAUUGGGAUAGAAUGGGUUCUCUAGAGCUUGUAGAGGGAGGUCUUUGACUAAAAUCGUAUUGAAACUCAUUUGGAAUGGUGCCAUCUACUCUAUUUUGGGGAUAGGAAUGAAGUUUUUCACAAUCAUGCUGCUCCUCCGUCUGCUGAAGCUGUUAAAAUGGCGGUCUUUGGUGUGAGACUUCGCAUCAAGAUGUUGCAAGAAACAAAGAGUCUUUCGAAGGAUGCAGAGAAAGCUUUGUGUAUGUUAUUUCGAAUUGUUUGUUAAGCCUGGGUGUUUUCUGUUGUUCUUUCUCUAGGCUUCAUAUACUAACCUGAAAAAAAGAGCUAACGGAAUUAAUUGCAAGUUAGAGGAUUUCACAGCACAAAAAUGAUAAAGCAAGACCGUAUCUCAUGAGAUACGGUUUUUUUUUUUUUUUUACCGACCAAAAAACAAAAGACCGUAUCUCAAUAUAAGAUUUGCAUUUUACGGGAUUGGUUCUUAUUUUCUUUUUAUGGUUUCGAGUGCCACUCACCACGUGUCAUCUUUCCAUGGAGGUUGGACCUGGCCGCUGGUUCCUUGAUGUUGGUCCGGUCCUGACUGCCAUUGACUCUGUUUUUCCAUUUCAUAAAAAUGCCCGACCAUUGAUCUUUCUCGAGUACCCCCAAAGCCUGACGAAUCCAUAAACUCCUGAAAAUUUAAAUUGGCAACCUCCUGAAAUUCCUGACGCUAAUUUCUUCCGUGGUCCAGAUUGCCAGAGCAGCUUCGGUCCUUCCUUUUCAUCUAUGUUUGCUACUUUGGAAUUUCCAAUUUCGUCGGUUCUUUUCUAUAUCUGCUAUUUACCCACUCUGAGGGAUCUUCAGGUGGUUCUACUUACUGGGCGAUUUUUCUUUCGUUUUUUUUUUUUUUUUGGUUGGAUGCUUACUGGGUGAUUGGGAAAGGGUUUAGUAUGGCUUCUUUUUUACAGAUGCAGAUCUUGUCUGACUUCAUUCUUUUCUAGUUAGCUCGAAGUUGUCUCCUCUCUUGUAGCUCAGAAUAAGAGAUGCCUAGAGAGGUUGAUCCAUUUCGGAGGCAUGUGGAGGUUGUGGCGAACAAGUGGAAGUGUAAGUUUUGUGGCAAGGAUUUUGGUGGAAGUGCUACAGGGAUCAGGGCACACCUCGUGGGGGCUCUGGACUAUGGUAUUAAACUAUGCGAGACAGUUGAUGAGCAUGUGGGAUCCCAAGCUUUGAAAGUGAUUAAAGGUAAAAGUGUGGCGGAUGCAACCAACAGGGGAGGCGCAUCUAUUGAGGUAAUGGGACGAAGAAGUGACGGCAUGGGCCAAAUUGUAGUCCUUGGUAGUGACCAUGCUUCGAGUCCCCAUAGUAUGCAGGACUCGAAUCGAAACGUCCUAGAGCAACCAUCUUGCCAUUGGCAGAAUGGAAGUGUUGCUGGUGCAGCUUCAGUAGAUUGUCAGUAUCAAGAGACCUUGUGUCUCGUUGGCAUGCCAGUGCGUGAUGCAGAAUUGCCCCCGCAAGGGCCGCAACCCAAUGGGUCAAUUCAACGCUUGAAUGAUGAACAUGGAAACGAAAAAACUUCAUCUCUCCAGCAACCUGCAACCGAUCCUUUGGCUUCGAUUUUUCUUGAUCCAAAGUCAACUACCAGAGCUCUUUGAUCAGUGUAUUGAUCUGGAGACGAGGCAUGAACAACGGAAUAGUAGAGGGCCAUCACCAUUGCAAAGUCAUCGAUCCCUUAAUAACAGCGUGACAAAUGAGUUGCAUCAAGUCAACUAGACCUGGUGGUGCUGCGCCUGGUCCCCGUCUCAGUGACACAAGUACAAUUGGCACUCCCCAGCAUCCCAAUCAAAACUAAUUUGGGCUUUGAUGAACAAUGGAGAGGUGAAAAUGCUCCAUGUCCGCAAAAUCUUCAGCAGAGUGGGUGACUUAUCUUCUCGAUAUGCCCUAUCAGCCACAGCAUUCCAUUCCAUCUUGUUAUUCUGAGGAAAUGCCAAUGAAUGACCUGCAGAAUCGAAUGGGUCCAUUGUCAUCACAAAAUGAUCAAUCCCUUGACGUUCAAAUUGUUUGCAAGACUGCAAUUAAAUCCCUAUUGCCGAAGUAGUUCCGCUGUCCAAUGCUACAAGCGUAACCAAUGCCGUUGAGCAUUUUAGUCGACAGCCACUUCUUAUACGUGAUGAAGAAUGUGAAAAUGAGAGUAGUUCCUUUCCCUCACAAGCUUCAAUGGACAUAUCUCCGCCAAGUGCAUCACAGCCUUCCUCUGGCCCUCAUUCUUUUGAGAAACCGGACGUAGAUUCCCAAGUUCCACAGGGCGGAACUAACAAGGCCCAUUGUCAUUACAAGGUAUGCGUUGAAGUGAUCCUUCUCUUCUCUUUUCUACUGUCUCCUAUUUAACAUCUCCCACGUUUUCCUAAUUAUAGGCGUAUCCUUGAAUGUUUCAUAUGUGUACUUUCUCUUAUUUUUUAAUGAUGAAUGUUAUAUGAGAAUAUCAAACGGAUGUAAAUGUUAGUUUCAGUGUAGAUGUUUUGUGGGAUUAAGUCUAGAUUUUGACUCUACUUACGCUUGUGGCUUGUUUUGAAAAUUCAAUGGUUGAUUGAUCAGGAUUGUUAAUGAUGAUUUUAAUCUGCUUUACUUUUGCAACCAGCUUCCAGGCACCCUCCAUGUCAAAGUCUUCUAGAUCAACCUCUUAAUCUUGAGACGAUGAACACAGAGCAUCACCCAAGCGUGUCAUCGUCAUCAUCACAGAGUAACCAGUUCUUGAUUACAUGUUUCCCACAAGCUCCGAUGGACAUAUCUGUGAGUAGUCCAUCAUCACCGCGAGGUACAUGUUAAUUCAUCUAAAUUGAUCCUUAUGUAUCCUGAUGCUACUUAAUUAGGGAGAAGCAUGAGUGCUUACAUUAGGAUCUAACACGUAGAAUUCUUGAUUCACAAUUAUCUAUUAAUAGAGUCAUUCAAACGCUGGCAACUUUGAAAAUAAUGGAGCUUUGAAAAGAAAGGUAGAAUGACUCUACAAUAGAGAAGCUGACAUAAAGAAUGAGUUGGAAUUUGCUGCAUCUCUAUCUCUGAAGAAGCAGAGAAUAGAAGUUGUGAAUUGGUUGACAAACGUGGAAAAGCAGAGGAAAAAUUUCCAAAGUCUUGAACCAGCCAGCGCAGAAAAUUUGCGACCACAAUAACAGGUGGACAUGUUGAUGGAAGAAGCGGGAAGACCUUAUCAUAAAAAGCAAAUUUCCAGAAGGACCGUUUGAGGUGGGAGAUGCCAAAGUCAAUAUAUUAUUAGAACGAAAGUUGCAGGCGGGAAAGGCAUUUGAGACAAAUAAAUACUAAGAAGAUCUUGAGGUGCCUAAUAGAGGAUCGCAUAUCAUGAUUAGGCAUUUACAAUAUGGGAGGUGUCGGGAAAACAACCAUUAUGGUGCACAUACAUAAUAGGCUCCUAGAAAAAGCAAACCAUAUUAAUGUAUUGUGGAUUGCUGUGUCACAAGAUCUCAACGUUUAUAAGUUGCAAGGUGACAUUUAGAAAAAAUUUCAUGCAUGGGUGUUAAUUUGGAUAAUGCUUACUAUUUAUUAAAACAUUGAAAAUAUAUCAUUUCGUAGAUUCUAAGAAGGAAUAAUAAUAAAAAAUUAAAGUAACGUGAGGUGGAGUAAAAACAAUCACAUCUUUAAGGGGUAAUAUCACCGAAAACCCAAAACUGGUACAUAUGCUCUAAAAUUAUUUUUAAACUUAAAUUGAUAUAUUUAUGGUAAAUUUAUCCUUUAAUAAUUUUCAUUAAAUUUUACAAUUAAAUUAUUAAGUUGGAUGACAUGUGGUAAUUGAUGAGUAUAUCAAUUUGGGAUUUUACCUUCAAUUUAUCAUAUGUGUAUGAAUUUGUAGUUUUUUGUAGUAUUAAUCAAAUGUAACGGAAAUCAAUGGAUGAUAAAUUUGUCACAAAUUCACAAGUUUUGAAUUUUUGGUGUAAAAAUUAGUUCGAGAUAAAUUUAUUACAUGUGUAAUAAUUUGGGAUUUUUGUAAUAUUAACCCUAUUUAAUUAGAGUAGAUUAAAAAAGGAUAUGAUAAAAUUAUAAGUGGUUUUUUUAGUUUAUAGAUAUAAAAUUCGGUCACGUCAAUCUAAGUACUAUUGAGGCACGUUAUUAAGGGGUCUAAUCGUCUCAUUCAAAAGGGCAUUUUCGGAAGAUAAAGUGCUGGUCAGGAGAGCUUUAUAAAUAGUGAUGUGGCUUCUUAUAAAACGUUUUUUGUCCUGACUUGGUAUGAAACGUUUUUUGUCCUGACUUGGUAUAAAACGUUUAAAUGUUUUAUACGAAGUCAGGAAAGUUUUGUCAGAAGUGACGCGGCUUCUUUCUUAUAAAAUGGCCCCAAAGGAUGCCCCACUCGACAUCACAGCACGGAGAGACGGAGGAGUAGAGAGAGAGAGAGGUGAAGAGCGACGACGGUGGAUUGCAGCCCGUCGAAAGAAAGGGUCGAGCGACGCCUGAAAUCUCCAUUUCCGAGCACCAGGCAAGAGAUUUUACCUCUAUUUCUCACGAGUUUGCGAUUUUCGUUUUUUUAAAAGUUUAAUAUCCGGACCUAUGUAGGGUUUUGCUUUACCGGCAACGCUUCGGCCGCCAAAAUCCAACCAUAUUUUGAUUACCCACAUCUCCUUGAGUCUAGAGGGAUUUCGCAGAGUUGUAGUUGGAGUCAGAUUCGAGAGAAACGAACUCUCCAAGUCCUCCUCUCUGCGCCGCAGGUGAAGAGUGUGUGCCGCCUGACUUCUUGGCUAAGCCACCUUUCGGGGCGGCGACCUGUCGAAUCUCGUAAUUCUAGAAUUAAUUAUUUUCUUGAGAAGGGAGUCCGCAAUUCCCAAGGUGUCUUUGAGUUAGAUCGGGUGUUUUUCGUCUCAGAAACAGCAAAUUGUUCUUGGGUCUGUUGGAUAGUAAUGUGCAGUUUGGCUUUCCCGCUUUAGUACUUGCGGAUGCUAGUGUUUGCUUUACACAAGAUCGGUGGGUUAUAUAGUUGGGUGCGCUCUCUUUGCCUGCAGGUUGAUAAUCAAGACAACAAGAUGCCGCGACCUGAAGAUAUAGCCUGGAAAUUCGUGCUUAGACUGGAGGGCAAGAGAUGGCGUUGUCCUUACUGCCAUAAAGAAUCCUCUGGAUCAGUCACAAGAGUGAAAAGUCACUUUCUUAAACAAGCAAAAGAAGGGAUUGCCUAUUGCACAAAAGUGCCAGAGCACAUACGAACACUAAUGGAAUUGUUACUCAAUCAUGAGGUGACUUUAGUACUUGUAGUAGCUACAUUAUCUGCUUGAGAAUAGUGCUAUGCGCACUAAGAAGAUGUAUAAAAAAUAGGGAUAAUAUAUGAUGGGGUGCGCUCUAUUUGCUUGCAGGUUCGUAACAAAGAGGAUAUAGCUUGGAAAUUCGUCAAUAGAUUGGAGGACAGCAAAUGGCGAUGUCAUUACUGCAGUGUAGAAUUCUCUGGAGACCUGACAGGACUGAAAGGUCACUUGCUUGGAGUCCCAAAUGAAGGGACUUCCAUUUGCACACAAGUGCUGGACCACGCAAGAGCACUAAUGCUGUUGUUACUCGAUGAGGUGGCUGAAGAAGAGAGCAGAGAGGUGGCUGAAGAACAGAGCAGAGAAGCCCACGGUCAAUCCUCCAUCGAACCAAAUUCCCGUGACAUGCCGAGUCAAGCUGAGGUGGCUGAAGAAGAGAUCAGAGAAGCCAACCGUCAAUUUUCCACGGAACCACAGUCGCCUGACAUGCUGUCUCCAGCUGUUCCUCGCUCAUCACAAAGCUUGGAAGAUAUAGAAAACUUAUUCACAACAACAGAGGGGGCGACCGACUUGGGAAACUUAGACUAUAACCUAGAGCGUCAAUUUUAUGAGACUUUGGCAAUGCCGCCACCGGCACAAAAUAUCCAUGGUAUGUUCAUGUGAAGUUUCCAUCGAUGCAUCUAGGCAUGGAGAAAAUAUAUCUAUUGUAUUUUUCAAUGCAAACGCGUCGGGUUUUUUUAACCAAAGUGGCGACUUUUAAAAAUCUUCUAUAAAAAUGAUCUUCCUACGGGACUUUCCAAAUGUGAAGAAAGUCAAUCACCUAUUCCUUAACAACAGUACGCAUUGAAUGUGUUGCAUGUGCCGAUCGGACCCACGGGAUGCAAUAAACUACAGUACGCAUUUUCUCGUGUUCCAAUCAGCCAUAUCCUAAUUUUGAUAAACAACACACAGGUGAAAGCUUGUCACGUUCAGCGAUGGCUUUAGCAGAAGGAGAAUCGUUUCUUCUUGAUUCGCCAUGUCAGCCACAAUGUUCCAAUCGAUCUCCUUAUCCCGAGGAAAUGCAAAUGAAUGACCACCGAACUCCAGCCGGGGCAUUAUCAUUCCAGUAUGUUCCAUUACCUGCUGUAGGUAAUUCAAAUUGCUUCCAGGACUGCAAUGACUCUCAAUUGCAAACUCCAGUGGACGUAAAUCCCUCAAUUACAUCACAGCGUACAAAUCACAUUACUGGGGCACAAAUCAAUGAUUCGAAAGUUCCAGAGGCGGCAACAAAUACAAUGGGCCCAUCAUCAUCACAAGGUUUGUAUGGAUUAAUCUACAUUGCUACUAUGGUUAUGUUAGAUCCUUGAAUAUCUCCAUAUUAUUUUAUCGAAAUCUAACAUAUGAUUUUUUAAACAAGAUAGGAACAUGGAUUAUCCAAUCAAGAACAUGCUGAGCAUCACUGCAUAUUCUAUAUGUCCGAUAUCACUUUUUAUCACAUUAUUACUUUCUUCAAAAUAUUUAACUCUAAUGCGGUCGUUACUCGAUGAGGUGGCUGAAGAAGAGAGCAGAGAGGUGGCUGAAGGACAGAGCAGAGAAGCCAACCGUCAAUCCUCCACAGAACCACAAUCACGUGACAUGCCCACUCAUGCUGAGGUGGAGGCUGAAGAAGAGAGCAGGGAAGCCAACGGUCAAUUUUCCACGGGGCCUUUAUUCUCACCAGGAUUCCUCCUCGAAGAUAUGGAACAGUUAAACUUCAGCCAACAGGAUGUCAUUUGGUUAAACUCUGCCCAACAAUCACAAACAGAGCGUCAGUUUCAUCAGAGUUCAACAAUGCCGUCACAGGUGCAAAAUAGCCAUGGUAUGUCCAUGUAAAGUUUUUAUACAUUCAUCCAGGCGUGGAGAAAAGAAAAAUCAUUAUAUUUUUCGUAUUAGUAACUCUCUCUAUAAUAACUCAAUUUCAUCCGCUUCCAUAUCGUAUCGAUUCCAAAUUACAGUUGUAUCAUCGCAUAUUCUAUAUGUCCGAUAUCAUUAUCUUUUUACCGCACCGUUUAUUUCAUCAAAAUAUUUACUUAUGAGCAUAUGUUGACUUUCGCUAUAAAUAUAUUUUUUUUAAAUCGAGUUCUAGACGUUCGUUUUACCUGUACCCAUGGCUUGAUUUAAAAGUCCCAUUGUUGAUUUAUUUUACGCUUGCCUUUUUUAGUGCAACCAGUUUUGGUGGCCCCUCAACAUCAAAAUGCUCCACAUCAAUCCGAGACAAGGAAUGUGCUGCAGAAUCCAACUGCACAAUCAUCAACAGCUCUAAGGGAUAUGGAUUUACGUAUCCAAUCUUCAUCGCAAGCUUCAAAUGCUGCUCCACAGUGGCCGACAGACGUUUCAAACUUCAACCAACAGGAUAUUAAUGAGCUAAACUCUGGUCAACAAUCACAAGCAGAGCGUCAAUUUCCUCAGAGUUCAACAAUGCCGUCACUGGCACAAAAUAGCCAUGGUAUGUUCAUGUGAAGUAUCUAUACAUUCAUCUAGGCGGGGAGAAAAACAUCUAUUAUAUUUUUCAACGCAAACACGUGGGAUUUUUUAACGGAAGUGGUGACUUUUAAAUAUCUCCGAUAAACAUGCUUUUUCCACACAACUUUUCAAAUAUGAAGAGAGUCAAUAACCUAUUCCUUAAUAACAGUACAUCCAAUGUGUUGCACGUGGCCACUAGACCCACUGGAUCCAGUAAACUAACUACAAUAAGUAUUCUCUCAUGUUCCAAUCAAUCAUAUCCUAAUUUUGAUGAACAACACACAGGCGAAAGUUCCACGAUGGCUUCAACGGAAGAAGUGCCGAAUUCUCAUAAUUUGCUAUGUCAACCACAUUGUUACAUUCAAUCUCAAAUACAAAUGAAUGACCAGCAUACAAGUGACUCUCACAUUAUUGAGCCAACAACGGUUGAUUCGCAAGUUCCAGAGGCGGCACCAAAUGCAACGGGCCCAUCCUCAUCACAAGGUGCGUUUGGAUUAAUCUUCAUUGUUACUAUAUGGUUCCACUAGAUUCUUAAAAAUCCCCAAAUUAUUUUAUCAAAAUCUAACAGAUGUUUUUUUAUAAAUUAGAUAUGAACAGGGGUUCUCCAGUCAUGGACGUACGGAGCAACUAUGCCAACGAUGAAGAGAUAAGAAACCUGAAAAGAAAAGUGGAAGAACUCGAUGACAAAGACGCUGUCAUAAAGGAGCAGAUGGAGAUAGAGUCUGCUGCUUCCUCACUUCGGAAGAAGCCGAGGAUAUUGGUUGAUAGAUGGCUAAAAGAGACAGAAAGAGCAAGAAAUAAUUUCCAAAUAAUUGGCCAAGCCAAUGCGGAAACUUUGCCACCAAAGGAACAGGUGGAGAAAUUGACGAGAGAAGUGGAAGAACUCAUAGGAAAAACGCUUCCACAACCACUGCUCAUAGAAGAGAGAGAUGCCAAAGGAGUCAAACUUUUGGAACGAAAGUUAACAGGUGAAGGGAUUCAUAGGAACAUUGAGUUGAUUUGGGACCGUCUGAAGGAGAAUCAUGCAUGCAAAUUGGGUAUUUAUGGAAUGGGUGGUGUUGGGAAGACAACUAUUAUGAUGCACAUACAUAAUAGACUUCUCGAAGAUGCAACCUUCGAUGGUGUGGUUUUUAUCACUGUGUCUCAAGAUUUCAGCAUUAAGAAGUUGCAGAGUGAUAUUUGGAAGGCAUUAAAAUGUGGCGUUAUGGAGGAUGAGGAUGAGAAGAAACAAGCAGCGAUAUUGUCGGAGCAUUUAGAAAGAAAGAAGAAUUGUGUAUUGAUUCUUGAUGAUGUGUGGGAACGUCUUGAUCUUGAAGAGGUGGGAAUCCCUGUUAGAGCUGAUGGAUGUAAGUUGAUCUUAACCAGUCGAUCCUAUUAUGUGUGCUGCCAGAUGCAAUGUCAAGAGAAGAUAAAAAUUAAACCUCUAUCUCAAAUAGAAGCCGAGAGUCUAUUUUUGGAGGAGCUUGGAUCCGAAGUUCCACUUAAUUCGGAAACUGAAGCAAUUGUGAAGUCCAUUGUUGAAGAAUGUGCUGGAUUGCCAAUUGGAGUCAUCACGAUGGCAAGAAGCAUGCGAGGAGUGACUGAUGUGUUUGAAUGGAGGGAUUCCUUGGUUAAAUUGGAAGAAUCAAGUAAGGGGCAAACAGAUAUGGAGAAGAAGGUCUUAAUGAAUCUAAAAUUUAGUUAUGAUCGCCUUGGUAAUCCUGAUGUGCAACAAUGCUUCUUAUCUUGUGCACUUUAUCCAGAAGAUGAAUUGAUUGAUAAGUUCGAGUUGGUAGAAUUCUUUAUUGACCAAGGAUUGAUUGGUGGAUUGAAUGCGUGGACAGAACAAUAUGAUAGAGGCCUCACCAUAUUGAACAAACUACGAAAUGUUUGCCUAUUGGAAGAUCAUGGGAGCGAGACGAAGAUGCACGAUUUGAUUAGAGACAUGGCAUUGCACAUCAUGAGUGCAACUUCCAUUGUAAAGGCAAGAAAGUGGUUGGAAAGUAUUCCAUCUGAGGAAUAUUGGACAGAUGCUUUGGAGAAAGUUUCUCUGAUGGGAAGCAAAAUAAGUGAAAUGUCACCAAAUUGUCCUAAACUAUCAACUUUACUACUGAAUGGAAGCUUGUUAGAGGAUGCGGUCCUCCCUGGUUCUUUCUUCAAACAGUUAUGUGGGCUAAAGGUCCUAAACCUGAGUGACUGUGAACUAACGGAACUUCCAAAUUCCAUCUCAGAUUUGGUAAACUUGAGGGCACUAUUGCUUAGAAGGUGUCGGGAAUUGUGCCAUAUUCCUUAUUUAGGCAAGCUCACAUCUUUAAGGAAGCUGGACGUUAGUGACUGUUUUGAGCUUGAAGAAGUGCCCGAGGGUCUGGAAAUGUUGGUGAACUUGAGAUACCUUGACCUAUGUUUUUCAUUGACCGUUGAAUUACCUAAAAUAAUACUGGGGGGUUUGCUAAACUUGCAGCAUCUUAAAGUUUAUUUUCUAGAUGGACAAGACAUGACAAAAUUGAGGGCACUGGAGACACUCAAAUGCUUUUUUGAAGAUGCGAAUGAUUUCAAUAAGUGUGUGAGGGUUAUUGAACAGAGUAACCUUCUCUGCUAUUAUUAUCUUUGUUAUUAUAUCGACAAAAAAUAUCAUGAUGAGGAAGAAUGUGAUAUUACUCAGGACAGGGAAGUCAAAAUUUGGGGGUGGGAUCAUGCUAUUGUGAGUGUGGGAGGGGAAUGCACCGGCAUUUUUAUUUUGAUUCCCCAAGACGUGCAGAAAAUGACGAUUUGUUGGAACGGUAUAACAAAUUUGUCUAGCAUAGGUCCGCUUGAAUACCUUGAGGAGCUAGAUAUAGAAGACUUAAACAACUUAGGGGUGCUCUGUGGAGGAGAAGACAAAGAAGUAAUCGACAUCUUUGCCCCAGCCCUUGCGCCUCUCCUCUUCUCGAGCCUUAGGGUUUUGAAAAUAUGGAGUUGUCCGGAACUGAAGUAUGUCUUUGGGCAUGGGUCUAAAUCCAACCUUCCACAUCUACGAGAGAUUGAAAUAGGGGGAUGUGAGGAGACGGUGGGGAUAAUAGCAGCAGUUACAUCCCCACCACCACAUCCGCUCCCAUUUUUCCCUAGUCUGGAACAGAUUAGCAUUACAGGCUGUUACGAGAUGAAGAGAGCGGUGGAAUCCGAGUGGAUGCCCCACUUCCCUAAUCUAAGAAGAAUCAAAGUAUCCGGAUGUGAGAUGGAGGAGAUAAUCGGAGGUCCUCCCCCAUACUCGCCGGAUGAACAGAUUUCUCUCGAAUCUCUUGAGGUAAGCUAUUGCGAUAAAAUGAGAAAGCUGCUUACGUAUGAGUGGCUGUUCCAUCUUCGAAAUCUUCAAAGUAUCUCUGUCACUUACUGCAAAGAAAUGGUGGAGUUGAUAAGCGGAGCGGGACAAGGCCAAGAAGGAAGCAUAACGACUUCUGUAAACAACACUCCUUCCUCCUUCCAGCCUUCUUCAAUUUCUCUCCCAAAGCUAGAGUGUUUGGAGCUACGCUAUCUACACCAGCUGAAGAGCAUAUGCGAAGUCCCAAUAAGCUGCGAUUUCAUGAAAAGAUUGGACGUGUGCAGAUGCCCAGAACUGAAGAGGAUUCCUUUGCAACUGCGAUUGUGUGAAAUUGAGGAGCUUCCGUAUAUUUUGGUGGAAGAUGAGGAAAAGUGGAAGACGUUGGUGUGGGAUCAUCCCAAUGCUCAGGCUAUUCUUCGACCUUAUCUCCGAAAAGGGCCACGCUGGCCUCCAAAUGCUAUAGGUUAAUGAGUUUAAUUGAUAUACGAUUGCUUCACUUCUUAAAAGUCCUUUCAAAGAUAUAGCUUUUCUGUCUAUAUAGUCAUGCAGCUCUAAUAGUGGCCUUCUGUAGUACUGAACACCAAGUGAAAGCAUCUCCUGCGACUCCACUCUUGAAGAAAGAACCCUGCUGCUCGACCAUGCUUUCCUGCAAACUUGACUCAGGUUGCCAUAUGAAUUGACUUUUUUUGUGUGGCCCUGCUUUGUCUAUUUUGAAUGCGAUCGCAUGUUUCAUUGACUACUGGAAAUGAGUCUAUCUGGUCGAUAUUUCAGGUUAGUCAAAAAGCAAUGGAUCUGAAGAUUUGGGAAGCCAAGGGAAUAACAAAGUCUGUUUCCUAUCUUGUCUUAUAACUGAAAGGACAAUUUAUUAUCAUGGAUUGAAUUUCUUGGGAUAUUAGCCUUCUAAGAAAAGAGAGAAUUUUGUGCAGCACUACCUUUAAUCUGUUUUUGUUUAAAAAGGAUUUCAAAUAUGAUAUUGCUUUAACUUGUCGAUCGAAAAUAUUGUGUCAAAUACGCUGCUUUGCUCUGUUGGAUCAGAGCAACAUGACCCCAAUUAAACUUGUUUCGACGUUAAACUAUCGGGUAUAGAAUACUUGAUCUGCUUAGUAGUUGUAUCAUAUCUGGAAACGUAGGCCGGGAAGUUUUCNNNNNNNNNNNNNNNNNNNNNNNNNNNNNNNNNNNNNNNNNNNNNNNNNNNNNNNNNNNNNNNNNNNNNNNNNNNNNNNNNNNNNNNNNNNNNNNNNNNNUACUUUGAAUUAGAAAUGUAAAAAGACGAAGAAGAAAGAAUUGCACAGCUAUCACCCUCUUUAAAUGCCUCGAAGUUGUGGAUAGAUGGAGAACCCUACAGCUUCAGCUCAAGUAACCAAAAAUCAGAGCAGUAACCACUAGCAAGUCAAUGGAAAAAAGGCCAGCUUAUAGGAUGUGGCACUUUUGAAAGUGUUUACAUUGCAAGCAACCAGUAAGUUAGCUCUGGGAAUCUUAGACAUGUUCCAUUUUUUUAGAUAUCCAGUCAGCUAAACUUUGACAUAUUAAGUGACAGAAAAACCAGAUCUCUAUGUGCAGAGAAGGAGUUUGAGCUAUUGCGUAAUGAUCCAAAUUUAGCUGAGUGCAUCGAGCAGUUAAAGCAGGUAAUGUUUUUGUUAUGCUCUGGGAUCCAAUCUAUCCUCUCAUCCGAUCUAAAUAUGCUGGGAGGAAACUUUCUUUCAUCAUUUCCAAGUAAUUGAUUGCUUUGUUACUACAGGAAAUUCAGGUACUUAGCCAGCAUAGACAUCCGAACAUUCUGCAGUAUUAUGUAAGGGAAAUUGUGAGUCACAUUUCCACAGCAUCUAUGCGUCCCAACUCAAUGGGCGUUCAUUAUUUGACUAACCAAAAUUUCAACAUAUUCAUACAUACUCAGGUUGAGGAUUGGCGUUACAUAUAUCUAGAAUAUGCACAUCACGAUUCAAUAGACAAGUAUAUCCAGGAGCGUCUUGGGACCCUAACAGAAUCGGUUGUCAGCACUUUACCCGCUAUAUUGUGGCUGGAUUGGCUUCCCUGCAUGUUUUUUUUGGUAAAGAGGCUUCCCUGCAUGUUAACAACUCCAUACAUGGGUAAUUUUAAACCAUUGAUCAAGCAUCAUGAGAUGACUUGCAUAUUGGAUUAGGAUGAUUGGACCUUCUUCUUUGUGCCCCCAGACCUGUUAAAACUAUUUGGCUUGUGCAGGGAUUUAAAGGGAGCUAAUUUAUUUGUGGAUGCAUCUGGGAUAUUCAAACUUGCUGACUUUGGGAUUGCUAAACAUGUGAGUUUUUACCUCUUCACCGCAAGACUACUCAGUGCAUGUAGAAAUUCCUUGCUGAUCUGUGGUACAUUCGAAUGUGAAGUCAGGGACCCAGGGUGACUGCAUACUUCUCGUUAUUGGUUUGUGGCAUUUCAUAUGUGCAUAAAUCUAUCAUAGAUGGAUGAAAUGUUAUUAAGUAAUUUUCUUCACUUUUUUUCCCAUUGUUUCAGGUAAAGUUACCAUGUUGCAUGAACGGGAAAAGAUUUCUUGCUGUAAAUAGAUGCCGAAACCUAAUGAGAGUUCCCUUUCUACUGGUUUCUAAAAAGUUCCUAAGAGCGGUAGUGAAUAGAACGCAAUACCUUUGGCAAAAGGUUGUGGUGUUGUUUUUGCUGCUCCUCUGCAUUCCAAAAUAAGGAUAGAACUUAGUCAGAGUAAGUAAGGGCCUCCUUCCUAACAUGGGGUAAAUAAAAGUUUAUUAAUCCAUAGAAUGGAAUUCUGGACAGUAGCCAAGGUGUUGUUGCUCUCUUUUUGAGUUCUCAAGCAUUUGCUGAGGCCAUGUUGUUGAUUGCUUCAUGGUCCUUUUUCUCAGUAAUGAGCUAACAUGAGUUGAAAGUGGUUGAUUCAGUUAUCAAUAUGAUGUAUCUAUGUCUAUAAAGAUGUUGCUAUUUUAUCCGGUGUUCCAUGAACACACCAAGUAGUAUUCAGCUUUACUAAUGCCGUACCAUUUCUUAGCUAACCGGACAAGCAGCUUGCCGCUCUUUGAAGGGAAGUCUAAACUAGAUGGCUCUAGAGGUACUCUGCUUUUGUUAACGUUAAUGCGGCAUACUCAGAGGUCCUCCCCCAUACUCGCCGGAUGAACAGAUUUCUCUCGAAUCUCUUGAGGUAAGCCUUUGCGAUAACAUGAGAAAGCUGCUUACGUAUGAGUGGCUGCUCCAUCUUCGAAAUCUUCAAAGUAUCGAGGUCACUGAGUGCAAAGGAAUGGUGGAGUUGAUAAGCGGAGCGGGACAAGGCCAAGAAGGAAGCAUAACGANNNNNNNNNNNNNNNNNNNNNNNNNNNNNNNNNNNNNNNNNNNNNNNNNNNNNNNNNNNNNNNNNNNNNNNNNNNNNNNNNNNNNNNNNNNNNNNNNNNNNNNNNNNNNNNNNNNNNNNNNNNNNNNNNNNNNNNNNNNNNNNNNNNNNNNNNNNNNNNNNNNNNNNNNNNNNNNNNNNNNNNNNNNNNNNNNNNNNNNNNNGGAGCUUCCGUAUAAAACCUGUUCAUUCCCAUUUCCAGCAGCAGGCGAGUGCCCUUGUUUCUCUAGGAAUUGGGUUUCUGCCUUCAACGAGAGGAAGAGUCUUUGCUCGAUCCCUGGAUGCUGACUGGUGCUUCAGAUUCUCAAGAACAGCUUCUUAGCUCUACUUCUAUUUGUGCAUCUUUGCUACUUGCAUGCAUCUGAAUCUUCUUUUUCUGUCCUAACCGGUAUGUUGCUUCGUCCUCAUCUUUGCCAUUUUCCAUUUGUAAGAAUCAAAUAGAGACUCCAACUGAACAUCCUUAUUUGCCUGGAUCAAAUAUGUGCCCACUUAACAAGUAGAUCUGAUGGAUUCUAUGCGAAAUGAAGGGUUAAAUGACCUGAAUGUAGGUGGGUGGACUUAACUGUGAGAUGCAAUAAACUUCUCGAAGAGAGACCAAGAAAUAGAGAGAGAAGGGGCGAGAAGAGAAAGAGAGGAAGAGCGACAACGGUGGAUUGCAGCCCGUCGAAAGGGUCGUGCUACGCCACAAAUCUCCAUUUUCGAACACUAGACAAGGUUGUUCUAGCUCUAUUCCUCACGAACUUGGGAUUUUUGUUUGUAAAGUUAAUAUCCGGAUCUAUUUUGUAUUUUGCUUUGCUGGCAACGAUUCGGUCAAAAUCCAACGAUAUUUCGAUUCCCCACAUCUCCUUGUAAUUCUAGAAUUAAUUAUUUUAUAGAGAAUGUAGUCCGCAAUUCCCAAGUUGUCUUUGAGUUGAUCCGGUGCUUCUUGUGUCAAAAACAGGAGAUUAUUCUUGGGUCGUUGAAUAUAAUUUGCAGUUUGGCUCUCCUGCUUUAAUACUUGUGAUGCUGUUAUUUGCUUGNNNNNNNNNNNNNNNNNNNNNNNNNNNNNNNNNNNNNNNNNNNNNNNNNNNNNNNNNNNNNNNNNNNNNNNNNNNNNNNNNNNNNNNNNNNNNNNNNNNNAUGCUAUGCGCGCUGAGAAAUAUUCAAAUGAUCUCUACGUUAUAUGAUCAAGUGCACUUUCUUUGCCCGCAGGUUGAUAAUCAAGACGGCAAGAUGCCGCGACUUGAAGAUAUAGCCUGGAAAUUCGUGAUUAGACAGGGCAAGAAAUGGCGUUGUCCUUACUGCAAAAUUGAAUACUCUGGAUCAGUCACAAGAGUGAAAAGUCACUUUCUUAAACAACCAAAAGAAGGGAUUGUCUCUUGCACAAAAGUGCCGGAGCACAUAAGCACGCUAAUGGAAUUGUUACAGAGUCAGGUGGCUUUAGCACUUGUGGUAGCUAUAUUAUGUGCUUGAGAAUAAUGCUAUGCGUGCUAAGAAGAUUUAUAAAAAAUGGGGAUAAUAUAUGAUAGGGGUGCGCUCUAUUUGCUUGCAGGUUGAUAACAAAGAUGAUAUAGCCUGGAAAUUCGUCGAUAGACUGGGGGAAAACAAAUGGCGUUGUCAUCACUGCAGGGAAGAAUUCUUUGGAGACCUUACAGGAGUGAGAGGUCACUUGCUUGAAGCCCCAUAUAAGGGGAUUUCCAUUUGCACAGAAGUGCCAGACCACGUAAGAACGCUAAUGCGGUCUUUACUCGAUGAGGUGGCUGAAGGAGGGAGCAGAGACUUGGCUGAAGAACAGAGCAGAGAUGCGGAGCCACAGUCGCGUGACGUGCUGUCUCCAGCUUUUCCUCCGUCAUCACAAAGCUCGGAGAGGGCGACUGACAUGGAAAACUCCAACUAUGACCUAGAGUGUCGUUUUCAUGAGACUUCAGCAAUGCCGUCACUGGCACAAAAUAUCCUUGGUAUGUUCAUGUGUUUCUAUACAUGCAUCUAGGCAUGGAGAAAAAACAUCCAUUAUAUUUUUCAAUGCAAACACGUCGGGUUUUUUAACCGAAGUGGAGACUUUUAAACAUCUCCAAUAAAAACGAUCUUUCUACGGAACUUUACAAAUGUGAAGUAAGUCAAUUACCUAUUCCUUAAUAACAGUGCAUUGUCCACUGGACUCACUGGAUCUAAUAAACUAACCAUAGAAGGCAUUUUCUCGUGUUCCAAUCAACCAUAUCCUAAUUUUGAUGAACAACACACAGGUGAAAGCAUGUCAUGUUUGCCAAUGACUUUAGCGGGAGUGGAAUCGUUUCUUUUUGAUUUGCCAGAACGGUCACAAUGUUCCAUUCAAUCUCAAAUGCAAUUGAAUGAUCAGCAGACUCCAGCAGGGACAUUAGCAUCCCAUUAUGAUCAAUUACCUGCUGCAGGUAAGUCAAAUUGCUUGCGGGAUAGUAAUCAGCACUCUCAAUUGCAAAUUCCAGUGGACAUAGAUCCCUCAAUUGCAUCACAGCAUACGAUCGACUCUCACGUUAUUUGGGUAACAAUCCUUGGUUUGCCAAUUCCAGAGGUGGCAGCAGAUACAAUAGGCCCAUCAUCAUCAUCACAAGAUGUGUCUUGAUUAAUCUAAAUAGAUACUAUCAUUUCGUUAGAUCCGUAAAUAUCCUCAAAUUAUUUUAUUGAAAUUUAACAUAUGUAUUUUUGUAAAAUAGAUAUGAACAGGGGUUCUCCAAUCAUGAACGUACGGAGGACACCACAACCUCGCAGAUGGAUGGAACAGGUGGUGCAGGAGGACAGGGCGGUCGACAUCGCAAACCUCCCAUCGGAUGGUGCAACAAAUCACUCUAUCGCAUCUCCCCUGCCAAAUUCAUUGCUUGAUGAUGGGCCAAAUGAACUGUUGCCCAUUUUACCUGGGUAUCUAACAUUAAAUCCACAACGGUAUCAAUGUGCGUCAUUGCCAGCACAAAACCACCAGCUCCUUGAUAAUACUUUUCAGAAUGAGUCACGGGGGUCCAUUUUGCCUGGUCUCAUUGCAUCAGAUGCUCCACUCACUAACGUGGCCACAACAAACACUGCCCGGCAUUUUAAUCAACCAGAUCAGACCUUUCACAGGCAGUGUGAAGGUGGCACUGGCUUAUCUCCUCUACCGCUUUCCAUGGACAUAGAGCCACCUCUUCCAUCACGACCUUUCAAUGGACCUCCUAUUAUUGAGCCAUUUAAUUCCCCUCCGCAGAUUCCAGAGGACAUCUUAAACACAACUGGCCCAUCAACACCGGAAGGUAUAAUACCAUCGAUCUAUUAAAUGGGUCUCGAUAACGCUUAUUAACAAAAUCCAUAUUAUAUUUAUCAUUCAUGUGGUCUCUUGUAAACCCCAUGUUGCUUCUAUGGUGAGUAAGAAUGUUUCAAUUGGAGUCUAAUGCAUGAAGUUGUGGCUUAUAAAUUAGUGAUGCCAGAAGGUGCACCAGCAGGGACAUCAUCAUUCCAGUAUGAUCAAUUGGUGUAGGUAAUUCAAAUCUGGAUUGCAAUCAGCCACGUAUAUCUAGUGUAACAAGUGUAGCCAACACUGUCCCGCAUUCUAACCUAUCAUUCGAAGCUGCAAUGAAGAAUGUGGAACUAAAACCAGUUCGUUUCCCCUGCGAGAUUCGAGGGGCAUAUGUCCCAUCACUGCAUUACGGCCUAUUAGGUGCCCUCACAUCGAGGCAACACUUGUCAAUUUGCAAGUUCUGGAGAAUGGAGCAAAUAUGGCUGGCCCGUAACCAUCACAAGUGACUGUCUUGAUUUACCUAAAUAGAUAGUCAUUCCAAAUUAAUCAUAGGUAUUCCAACUCGAGUGAGCGUUGAUGUUUUCAUUGCAGAAGUGAUCCUUCUUUGUAUUAUUAACUCUCUUUUAGUAUGACUCAAAUUCGUCUAUUUCCAUAUCUAAUCUUUUCUCAAUUACCGUAGUAUCAUUGCAUGUUAUGUUUGUCCAACAUCACUUACUUUACGGCAUGGUUUUUUCAUCAAAAUAUUUUACUUAUCUGCAUGUUGAUUUUCCUUGUGGAUGUCUUUUGUGACCAAGUUCUAUGUUGUUUUACCUGUGUGCAUGGACACUCCAAUAUCUUAGUGCAACCAGCUCUGGUGCCCCCUCAACAUCAAAGUGUUCCACAUCAAGCUCCAAAUAAUACUCCUUCAGCUCCUCAGAUUCAACGUCGUGGAACAGGUCUGAUAGUCCCAUCGUCAUUGCCAGGUAUAUAGUUAUUUACCUAAAUUAAUCCUUAUGCAUCGAUCACCAUGUUAUGUUAUUAAGGGAAGCAAGAAUGCUAUAAUGAGACCGAUGGAUUUAAUUGCAGAAUUAGAUAUGAGCAAGGGUGUGCCACUAACGAGUCACACAAACAUAAACAACAACUUUGAAAAGAGUAGAGCUUUGAAAAGAAAAAUAAAGCAACUCUACAGUAGAGAAGCUGACAUAAGGGAUGAGUUAGAAUUUGCCGGGUCUCUAUCACUAAAGAAGCAGAAAAAGGAAGUUGAGAAUUGGUUGGCGGAUGUGGAGCAGCUCAGAAAAGAUUUUCAGAGUAUUGAAGCAACAAGUGAGGAUUGUUUGCCGUCACACCAGCAGGUGGAUACACUGACGCAACAAGCAGAAGACCUUAUGAAACAAGGCGAAUUCCCAAAAGGACUAUUUGGGGCGAGAAAGACCAAAGUCAAUAAGUUGAUAGAACGAAAGUUGGUGGGAGAGGCAUUUAAGAGAAAUACAACAAAGAUUUUGGAGUACUUAGUAGGGAGUCAAAUAUCCCGACUAGGCAUUUAUGGAAUGGGGGGUAUUGGUAAAACCACUCUUAUGAAGCACAUACAUAAUAGACUUCUCGAAAAAGCAAAUCAUGAUAAUGUGUUGUGGAUCACCGUGUCACAAGAUUUUAACACACAAAAGUUGCAGAACGACAUUUGGGAGGCACUAAAUUUAGGCACACUACAAGAAAAGGAGGUGGGGCAACGAGCAGCAAUGUUGUCCGCUGUUUUAACCGAAAGAGAGAAGUUGAUCAUAAUCCUUGAUGAUGUGUGGGAAGAUUUCAAUCUUGAAGAGGUGGGAAUCCCUGUUAGAGAAGAUGGAAAUAAGUUGGUCUUAACCACUCGAUCCCUUGAAGUAUGCCGCCGGAUGCAAUGUCAAGAAAUAAAAAUCGAACCUCUAUCUCUAGAAGAAGCUGAGGAUUUAUUUUUUGAGGAGCUUGGAUCCAAAGUGGCCCUUAAUUUGGAAACAAUUGUGAAGUCCAUUGUUAAAGAAUGUGCAGGCUUGCCACUUGGAGUCAUCACGAUGGCAGCAAGCAUGCGAGGAGUGACGAAUGUGUCUGAAUGGAGAGAUUGCUUGGAGAAAUUGAAAGAAUCAGAUGCCCCAACGGAGAUGGAAAAGAGAGUCUUAAAGCAACUAGAAGUCAGCUACGAUCGCCUUGAGAAACGUGAAGUUCAACAGUGUUUCUUAUCUUGCGCACUUUAUCCAGAAGAUAGAUUGAUUGAUAAGGUCGAGUUGAUAGAAUUCUUUAUUGACCAAGGACUGAUUUGUGGAUUGAAUAUGAAUACGAGGGAGAAAGAAUAUGAUAGAGGCUUCACCAUAUUGAGCAAACUGGAAAAUGUUUGCCUAUUGGAAGAUUAUGGAGAAAACAUGAAGAUGCACGAUUUGAUUAGAGACAUGGCAUUGCACAUCAUGAGUGCAACUUCCAUUGUAAAAGCAGGAAAGUGGUUGGAAAGUAUUCCAUCUGAGGAAUAUUGGACAGAUGCUUUGGAGAAAGUUUCUCUGAUGGAAAACGAAAUAAGUGAAAUUCCAUUGAACAUGUCACCAAAUUGUCCUAAACUAUCAACUUUACUACUGAAUGGAAGCUUGUUAAAGGAUGCGGUCCUCCCUGGUUCUUUCUUCAAACAGUUAUGUGGGCUAAAGGUUCUAAACCUGAGUGACUGUGAACUAAUAGAACUUCCAAAUUCCAUCUCAAAUUUGGUAAACUUGAGGGCACUAUUGCUUAGAGAGUGUCGGGAAUUGUGCCAUAUUCCUUAUUUAGGGAAGCUCACAUCUUUAAGAAAGUUGAACGUUGGUGGCUGUUCUAAGCUUAAAGAAGUGCCCGAGGGUCUGGAAAUGUUGGUGAACUUGAGAUACCUUGACCUACGUUUUUCAUCGACCGUUGAAUUACCUGAAAGAGUACUAGGGGGUUUGCUAAACUUGCAGCAUCUUAAAGUUUAUUUUCUAGAUGGACAAGACAUGACAAAAUUGAGGGCACUGGAGACACUCAAAUGCUCUUUUGAAGAUGCGAAUGAUUUCAAUAAGUGAACAGAGUAACCCUCGCUGUUAUUAUUAUCUCGGCAUGGCUCAAAAAGAUAUUUCUUAUUAUCGUGAAGCAUGUUAUUCUACUCAUGAGGAAUACCGUGAUAUUACUCAAAUUGAGAAUCGGAAGAGGGAAGUCAAAAUUUGGGGGUGGGAUCAUGCUAUUGUGAGUGUGGGAGGGGAAUGCACCGGCAUUUUUAUUUUGAUUCCCCACACCCGUGCAGAAAAUGACAAUGAUUGGUUGCGACGGUAUAACAAAUUUGUCUAGCAUAGGUCCGCUUAAAUACCUUGAGGAUCUAUGUAUAGGAUACUCAGAAAACUUAGGGAUGCUCUGUGGAGGAGAAGACGAAGAAGUAAUCGACAUCCUUGCCCCAGCCCUUGCGCCUCUCCUCUUCUCGAGCCUUAGGGUUUUAAAAAUAUAUGAUUGUCCAAAACUGAAGUAUCUCUUUGGGCAUGGGUCUAAAUCCAUCCUUCCGCAUCUACGAGAGAUUGAAAUAUAUGGAUGUGAGAAAAUGGUGGGGAUAAUAGCAGCAGUUACAUCCCCACCACCACAUCCGCUCCCAUUUUUCCCUAGUCUGGAACAGAUUAGCAUUAGUCGCUGUAACAAGAUGAAGAGAGCGGUGGAAUCUGAGUGGAUGCCCCACUUCCCUACUCUGAGAGGAAUCACAGCAAUUUAUUGUGAGAAGAUGGAGGAGAUAAUCGGAGGUCCUCCCCCAUACUCGCCGGAUGAACAGAUUUCUCUCGAAUCUCUUGAGGUAAGCCGUUGCUAUAACAUGAGAAAGCUGCUUACGUAUGAGUGGCUGCUCCAUCUUCGAAAUCUUCAAAGUAUCGUGGUCAGUCACUGCAAAGGAAUGGUGGAGUUGAUAAGCGGAGCGGGACAAGGCCAAGAAGGAAGCAUAACGACUUCUGUAAACAACACUCCUUCAUCCUUCCAGCCUUCUUCAAUUUCUCUCCCAAAGCUAGAGUGUUUGAAGCUACGCUAUCUACACCAGCUGAAGAGCAUAUACAAAGCCCCAAUAAGCUGCGAUUCCAUGAAAAGAUUGAAAGUGUACGGAUGCCCAGAACUGAAGAGGAUUCCUUUGCAACUGCCACUGCGUGAAAUUGAGGGAGCUUCCGCAUAUUUAUGAUGGAAGAUGAGGAAAAGUGGAAGACGGCUGAUGUGGGGAUCAUCCCGGAUGCUCAGGCUAUUCUUUCAACCUUAUCUCCAAAAAGGGUCAAAUGCUAUAGGUUAAUGAGUUUAAUUGGAUAUACGAUUGCUUCACUUCUUUAAAAGUCCUUUCAAAGAUAUAGCUUUUCUGUCUAUAUAGUCAUGCAGCUCUAAUAGUGGCCUUCUGUAGUACUGAACACCCAGGUGAAAGCAUCUCCUGCGACUUCACUCUUUGAAGAAGAACCCUGGCUGCUCGACCAUGGCUUUCCUACCAACUUGGACCUCAGGUUGCCAUAUGAACUGACUUUUUUUGUGUUGCCAUGCUUUGUCUAUUUUGAAUGCGAUCGCAUGUUUCAUUGACUACUGGAAAUGAGUCUAUCUGGUCGAUAUUUCAGGUUAGUCAAAAAGCAAUGGAUCUGAAGAUUUGGGAAGCCAAGGGAAUAGCAAAGUCUGUUUCCUAUCUUGUCUUAUAACUGAAAGGACAAUUUAUUAUUAUGGAUUGAUUUUCUUGGGAUAUUAGCCUUCUAAGAAAAGAGAGAAUUUUGUGCAGCACUACCUUUAAUCUGUUUUUGUUUAAAAAGGAUUUCAAAUAUGAUAUUGCUUUAACUUGUCGAUCGAAAAUAUUGUGUCAAAUACGCUGCUUUGCUCUGUUGGAUCAGAGCAACAUGACCCCAAUUAAACUUGUUUCGACGUUAAACUAUCGGGUAUAGAAUACUUGAUCUGCUUAGUAGUUGUAUCAUAUCUGGAAACGUAGGCCGGGAAGUUUUCUUUUCACCCUUUGUCAUACUUUGAAUUAGAAAUGUAAAAAGACGAAGAAGAAAGAAUUACACAGCUAUCACCCCUCUUUAAAUGCCUCGAAGUUGUGGAUAGAUGGAGAACCCUACAGCUUCAGCUCAAGUAACCAAAAAUCAGAGCAGUAACCACUAGCAAGUCAAUGGAAAAAAGGCCAGCUUAUAGGAUGUGGCACUUUUGAAAGUGUUUACAUUGCAAGCAACCAGUAAGUUAGCUCUGGGAAUCUUAGACAUGUUCCAUUUUUUUAGAUAUCCAGUCAGCUAAACUUUGACAUAUUAAGUGACAGAAAAACCAGAUCUCUAUGUGCAGAGAAGGAGUUUGAGCUAUUGCGUAAUGAUCCAAAUUUAGCUGAGUGCAUCGAGCAGUUAAAGCAGGUAAUGUUUUUGUUAUGCUCUGGGAUCCAAUCUAUCCUCUCAUCCGAUCUAAAUAUGCUGGGAGGAAACUUUCUUUCAUCAUUUCCAAGUAAUUGAUUGCUUUGUUACUACAGGAAAUUCAGGUACUUAGCUAGCAUAGACAUCCGAACAUUCUGCAGUAUUAUGUAAGGGAAAUUGUGAGUCACAUUUCCAUAGCAUCUAUGCGUCCCAACUCAAUGGGCGUUCAUUAUUUGACUCACCAAAAUUUCAACAUAUUCAUACAUACUCAGGUUGAGGAUUGGCGUUACAUAUAUCUAGAAUAUGCACAUCACGAUUCAAUAGACGAGUAUAUCCAGGAGCGUCUUGGGACCCUAACAGAAUCGGUUGUCAGCACUUUACCCGCUAUAUUGUGGCUGGAUUGGCUUCCCUGCAUGUUAACAACUCCAUACAUGGGUAAUUCUAAACCAUUGAUCAAGCAUCAUGAGAUGACUUGCAUAUUGGAUUAGGAUGAUUGGACCUUCUUCUUUGUGCCCCCAGACCUGUUAAAACUAUUUGGCUUGUGCAGGGAUUUAAAGGGAGCUAAUUUAUUUGUGGAUGCAUCUGGGAUAUGCAAACUUGCUGACUUUGGGAUUGCUAAACAUGUGAGUUUUUACCUCUUCACUGCAAGACUACUCAGUGCAUGUAGAAAUUCCUUGCUGAUCUGUGGUACAUUCGAAUGUGAAGUCAGGGACCCAGGGUGACUGCAUACUUCUCAUUAUUGGUUUGUGGCAUUUCAUAUGUGCAUAAAUCUAUCAUAGAUGGAUGAAAUGUUAUUAAGUAAUUUUCUUCACUUUUUUUCCCAUUGUUUCAGGUAAAGUUACCAUGUUGCAUGAACGGGAAAAGAUUUCUUGCUGUAAAUAGAUGCCGAAACCUAAUGAGAGUUCCCUUUCUACUGGUUUCUAAAAAGUUCCUAAGAGCGGUAGUGAAUAGAACGCAAUACCUUUGGCAAAAGGUUGUGGUGUUGUUUUUGCUGCUCCUCUGCAUUCCAAAAUAAGGAUAGAACUUAGUCAGAGUAAGUAAGGGCCUCCUUCCUAACAUGAGGUAAAUAAAAGUUUAUGAAUCCAUAGAAUGGAAUUCUGGACAGUAGCCAAGGUGUUGUUGCUCUCUUUUUGAGUUCUCAAGCAUUUGCUGAGGCCAUGUUGUUGAUUGCUUCAUGGUCCUUUUUCUCAGUAAUGAGCUAACAUGAGUUGAAAGUGGUUGAUUCAGUUAUCAAUAUGAUGUAUCUAUGUCUAUAAAGAUGUUGCUAUUUUAUCCGGUGUUCCAUGAACACACCAAGUAGUAUUCAGCUUUACUAAUGCCGUACCAUUUCUUAGCUAACCGGACAAGCAGCUUGCCGCUCUUUGAAGGGAAGUCUAAACUAGAUGGCUCUAGAGGUACUCUGCUUUUGUUAACGUUAAUGCGGCAUACUCAGAGGUCCUCCCCCAUACUCGCCGGAUGAACAGAUUUCUCUCGAAUCUCUUGAGGUAAGCCUUUGCGAUAACAUGAGAAAGCUGCUUACGUAUGAGUGGCUGCUCCAUCUUCGAAAUCUUCAAAGUAUCGAGGUCGCUGAGUGCAAAGGAAUGGUGGAGUUGAUAAGCGGAGCGGGACAAGGCCAAGAAGGAAGCAUAACGACUUCUGUAAACAACACUCCUUCAUCCUUCCAGCCUUCUUCAAUUUCUCUCCCAAAGCUAGAGUGUUUGAAGCUAUGCUAUCUACACCAGCUGAAGAGCAUAUACAAAGCCCCAAUAAGCUGCGAUUUCAUGAAAAGAUUGGACGUGUACGGAUGAUUGACUUAUUUCAAGUGCCAUACGUUGUUGCAAAUGGAUGUUGUACUGUAAAGUUCCAUAUUUACUAAACCAGAAUAAUCACAGGGUCCAUAGAUGUGAUGAAGUACUUGUAUAUCGACGAAAUAAGAUGCAUGUUCCUCUCGCAUGGUUUGACCAGUGUCAUCCUACGAUCUAGGCAAAUUUGACAGUGUUGCUUAAUCUAAACAUUUU
rnacentral:lncRNA from 1 species